GACGAACGCUGGCGGCGUGCCUAAUACAUGCAAGUCGAGCGGAUGAAAGAGGAGCUUGCUCCUCUAGAUUCAGCGGCGGACGGGUGAGUAACACGUGGGCAACCUGCCCUGUAGAUUGGGAUAACUCCGGGAAACCGGGGCUAAUACCGAAUAAUCCUUCGGACCUCAUGGUCCGAUGUUGAAAGACGGUUUCGGCUGUCACUACAGGAUGGGCCCGCGGCGCAUUAGCUAGUUGGUGAGGUAACGGCUCACCAAGGCCACGAUGCGUAGCCGACCUGAGAGGGUGAUCGGCCACACUGGGACUGAGACACGGCCCAGACUCCUACGGGAGGCAGCAGUAGGGAAUCUUCCACAAUGGACGAAAGCCUGAUGGAGCAACGCCGCGUGAGUGAAGAAGGUUCUCGGAUCGUAAAACUCUGUUGUGAGGGAAGAACAAGUACCGGAGUAACUGCCGGUGCCUUGACGGUACCUCAUUAGAAAGCCACGGCUAACUACGUGCCAGCAGCCGCCGUAA
rnacentral:rRNA from 1 species